GAGGAAUAUUGGUCAAUGGGCGGAAGCCUGAACCAGCCAUCCCGCGUGAAGGAAGACAGCCUUACGGGUUGUAAACUUCUUUUCUGUUUGAAGAAUAAGCCCGUUGAGACGGGUGAUGCCGGUAGGACAGGAAUAAGCAUCGGCUAACUCCGUGCCAGCAGCCGCGGUAAUACGGAGGAUGCAAGCGUUAUCCGGAUUUAUUGGGUUUAAAGGGUGCGCAGGUGGUUUAAUAAGUCAGUGGUGAAAGUCUGUCGCUUAACGGUAGGAUUGCCAUUGAUACUGUUAGACUUGAAUAUGGGUGAGGUAAGUGGAAUGUGUAGUGUAGCGGUGAAAUGCAUAGAUAUUACACAGAACACCGAUUGCGAAGGCAGCUUACUAAUCCAUUAUUGACGCUGAGGCACGAAAGCGUGGGGAUCAAAC
rnacentral:rRNA from 1 species